GGUCAGCUGCCUGAGUCCAAGCGUGGAGGGAAAAGGAUCAAGAGGGCAUGCAGAAGAUGUGCGGCGCAGAAGGCACUGCCCCCCUUCUCGUGUCAUCCCUCCCACAGUCCUGCAAAAUAGAUGAGGGAGCUGAGGCUCAGAGAAGUCGCCUUGCUUGCCCAAGAUCACACAGCUGGGGUGCAGAGCAGCCGGGAUUCCAACCCAGGAAGUCUAACCUCAGGCCUCAUGCUUCCAAUCCCCAUGUGAUUAGAAGUGAAGAUUCUACAACCUAAGCGUCCAAAACAGAGAGGGGAAAAAUGCUGGCUUCCCUCCCUCCCUUCCUUUUUGGCAUUUUCCAUGAAUAAGUGCAUUGCUUCCUUUCUCUCUGACAAGCAGGCACCAGCUGCCCACAGGAGGGCAGGGGAGUGAGAACAGGAAGAGAAAUCUGUUUCCUUAUGAGUCCUCACCCAUCCUGUCACUUAAAAAACCUCUGUUCUCACCUGUCCCGUGCCCCUCCCAACAACAGUGCCCAGGAGAGUCCGUGAGAGCUGGAACAGCACAGCGGGGGCUGAAGAAGUGAGUGCUGCCCCGGGAGGCAGCAGGCACUUCCUCAAGGUCAAAGGACACUUAGUGUUAGAGGCAGGAUGGGGACCCAGGCCACCCAUGGCCAAUCCAGGGCUUUUGGGCUGCCCCCCUGGGCUUGCCUGGUCCUUUGCCUCUGUCAUCCUGAGUGCCUGAUUUUGAUCCCACUGUCACUCUUCGGGUGUCUUCUUGUGGACUUCAUGCCCAGGCUGCACACAAUACAGCCAGCCCCUGUCAUUGUCCCACAGCCCUGCCCAGGGAACCUGGCACAAGCCUGGGCCCCACCCACCGGAGUAACAACGGCACCAGCAUUGUGUGCUGGACCCCGAGUCUGGACACCCGGCUUCCUCACCUCCUAGAGACGCUGUGAAGGGGAGUCAUGCAGCUCUGAGAGCCUCGGUUUGUGCCCCUGUGAGCUGAGGAGGGGGACCCCACCUGCAUUGUUGGUGGAUCGAGAGAUGCUCUGAGACAACGCAGGCCAUACUCCAACACUGUCCAGGCUGCUGGGCAGGCUCACGAGAGACACGCGCUCACGUGACUUUCCCCUCUGCCGCCUUCAGGACCCAGGAAGCCCUGGAGAUUUCCUCCUGUCUUCAUCCUGCCAGGCUCCUCUGUCUCCAGAGAACCUCCCCCCAGAGUCCGCAUCUAUUGAAAUACGCUUUUCUGCCGGAAAUCUCCCCAGACGCCAGUAGAAUCCCCCGUAGGUAGAUUUGGAAGCAGUUAAACGCCCCCAGAGAAUCCCUCGGAGCUCCUGGGACAAGCUGCGAAGUGCAGCUCACAGCCGGAGUCUCGGAGCCCCCGAACGUCAAUUCUUCAGCAGCCUCAGGGCCGCCUAGUCCGAUCCCCUUCCCAUUGAGCAUGGGGGGGAAACUGAGGCUUGGAGAGGAAGACGAGCUUGUUCAGACACACAGAGCCGGCUGGUGCGGAGCUGAGAUCCUGCUUCUAUGCAUGACGCUCUUCACCUCCUCGCAGAUGCUGGGAGCGUGGCUGGACCACAGCAAACCCAUCCUCAGGGCUUUGGUAACUCUGCGGGAAACAGGCUUUCUCGAGAGUCUCCCAGUGGAGUCAUCUUCUCAGACUUGAGUGGUGGAUGGAAGAAGCAGGGUGAGGUUUGGUCUACGCUUUGCUGUUAACUCACUGUGUGAACCCAGACAGGUCACUUCUCUCUCUAACUUACUCCAUCU
ensembl:lncRNA